CACUCGGCCGGCAUUCUGUGGCAAAGUAAAAGAAAACGCUGAAAACUUGAACCUGCUUAUACUCGAGCUUCCUCGGCCUUCAAACGAGCUCACUUGUAUUCUUUCCCUACCCUUCCCCGCGUAUGUUUCUCGCACUCUUUCUUGCUCCUCGCCUUGUUCGUCUCUCUCCCUCUCUCUCUCUCUCUCUGGGCUGUGUGUAAGAGGAUCACUUUGUUUCCGUUGCCUUUUUCCGCGGUGCUGCAGACACACAUGGAGCAGAGGAUUGGAUUUGAGGAGAUACUGACGAAGUGCACAGCUGCAAUGGUCCCCUCCAUCUCCACACCAGGACUAAGCCCCCCCACCGACCCACCCCAGUGUGUGUGUGUGUGUGUUUGACUCUCUCCCUCUCUCUGUCGCACUCUCUGCUAUCCGGCUCUCCGUGGGGUGGGAGUUGCAAUAUAGUAACUCAGAAAAAUGGAAGUGGAUUGGAGACAGACAAGAUAGGAAGCUUUCGUUCUUGGGCUCGGACGUCAGGAUCUGUGUGAUAAAUAAAUGGCCACCCUAGAGAACCCACUGGCCCAGCGACCCAUCCUCAGAGCGAGAUGCAGCCACGAUGGGAGCCCCGGCAAUUGUCUGCCAUUCUCCAUGCUUUAAGUUUGAGAAGAGCAGACUCGAGCCCCGCGCCCCCUCGGCUCCUCAUUAGUAUGCACCGGCUGUCGCUCAGGUGACAUGGCCACUGGAUUCCAUCCCAACUGCAGGAACAUCAGCAGCACGGUGGAGAGUGGGAUAGCAGGUAAGGACAAUGAGAACGGAACGGCGUGGAGGAAAGGAGAAGACGAAGGUGGUGGGAUGGGGCAUGGACUUGUAUACACUGCUGCAAUCCAAAUCCAGCUUCUUUAAUUAAAGCGUCUACUGCUGUGAGCUGAGCCGUGCAAGUUAAGUCAUCGUUUGCAAAGCACAUCCACGCAAUUUUCCUCGUUAAUGAAAUAUCCCGCACUUCUCUGUACACAGUUUGAACAAUUCAUGAAUUCACGAGCAUUAAAUGUAGAUGUUGGAGCGUCUGCUCUUUCUGCUGAUUUUAAUAAACACCUCUGUUGAUUA